CCUACGGGAGGCAGCAGUGAGGAAUAUUGGUCAAUGGGCGUAAGCCUGAACCAGCCAAGUCGCGUGAGGGAUGAAGGUUCUAUGGAUCGUAAACCUCUUUUAUAAGGGAAUAAAGUGCGGGACGUGUCCCGUUUUGUAUGUACCUUAUGAAUAAGGAUCGGCUAACUCCGUGCCAGCAGCCGCGGUAAUACGGAGGAUCCGAGCGUUAUCCGGAUUUAUUGGGUUUAAAGGGUGCGUAGGCGGCCUUUUAAGUCAGCUGUGAAAGUCUGUGGCUCAACCAUAAAAUUGCCGUUGAAACUGGGAGUCUUGAGUAUGUUUGAGGCAGGCGGAAUGCGUGGUGUAGCGGUGAAAUGCUUAGAUAUCACGCAGAACCCCGAUUGCGAAGGCAGCCUGCUAAGCCAUGACUGACGCUGAUGCACGAAAGCGUGGGGAUCAAACAGGAUUAGAUACCCCAGUAGUC
rnacentral:rRNA from 1 species